CCACUGUGUAUAAAUACAGCGACUCCUGCUCCCUUCUCCACUCGCUAACCAGCAAGUGCCGAGCUGAAACCAGCACUUGGGUUAAUGGCACCCAGUGCCUGGAAAUCCCAACACUCAAAGAGAAGAAUAGACUCAGGAAACCCAUUGCAGAGAAACUGUCAUGAUCGGAAUAACCGCAGCAUUGAGUAGCUGAAACUGCUCCUGGGGAAGGAGUUUCAGAGACACCAGCCCAACUCCAAGCUGGAGGAGUCAACAACCUGGAGAUGUCAGCUACCGAAAUAUAGCCGAGCUUUUGCAGCAUCUGCCAAAAGCCUACAGCAGGAUAUUUGUGAAGGGGAUGCCUGUUGCCUGAGAAGGAGCUCUGCAAUUCCUGAAUCUCCACGCAGCAAACAUUGAAACCCGGCUGAAGCUGAUCUGCUGUUUCCAGAGGUCACAAGUGGUGCCUAAGGACUCUGGUGCUUCUUCUGCACCUGCUUCCAGCAGCACCGAAACCCUCCUGCAGCCUCGGGAGGCCUUGGUAGACCAAGAGUACCUGUAUGUGCUUCCUGGACAUUUGCUCGUAUUCCAGAGGAGAUCGUGACUUGCUGUACAAGUCCCCCCACUCCUCUCAUGAGUAGGAAGAAUGUUUUCCUUUAGCAGAGCGUUACUAUGCUCGGAUGUCUGCUUCCCUUCUUCCAGAAGGACUGAAAUGAUCCCACCAUGUGGAGAGAAAGUUAUUCUAAAAGAAUGUGAGCUGUAAUCCUCCUGCGAGGAUGGCUGAGGAGUUGUUCAGAGAGGAACACCGACUGUUCUUAACCUUAGUGAGGUUGUACGUGUAGAUCUGUUGAGAAAGCAGUAACUUCUAAGAUGUUCAGGCUAGCUUUUUCAAAAGUGUCCAUUCAGGAGGAGCCUAUUCCUCUGACCUGCUCCACUUGAGACUCCCAUAUCCCAGGCUACUGCGCCGCCUGGUUGUGGGGACCCAAGGUGGCUCAAGCAGAGCAGCAGGUCUAACUGGACACCUUUGAAAACCUAGCUUCCCUACGGGGGCCAUAAUGGGCUCUACAAUAUUUGUAGACUGUACUGAGCAUGCUCUGGAAAGGGUUAAACCAUAACUCAAACUAUGUAGAGGAAAUUCCUCAGGAUGUCUUGCUCACAGAGUCAGAGUACUGCUUGUGAGAUGCAGGAUAUGUGCGCCUUUUAUAAAGGCAAAAGCUCAUUUAUAUCCUUGUAGGAAAGAAAGUUAUGGCUGUGUUGUCGAUUUUACAAGAUAUGUUUAUCAAAGUCUUUCAUUAAAGGCAGGUGUACAAAUUGUAUUUACUCUGUGGUACCCUACCCCCAGGGGAGAAUAUGAAUCAUUACUGUCCUUGGAGGAUGCUGUGACAUGUUAUGUGUGAGCUGCACCAAGUGUAUAUAACCUGUGCCAGGAACUACCUUGGAUUUCAGAAACUGCAGAAACUUUUACCAGUACAAAAAUAAAUAAAAAUCUAGUUAACAAAUACA